AGAUUGAACGCUGGCGGCAUGCCUAACACAUGCAAGUCGAACGGCAGCGGGUCGUAGCAAUACGAUGCCGGCGAGUGGCGGACGGGUGAGGAAUACAUAGGAAUCUACCCUGUCGUGGGGGAUAACGUAGGGAAACUUACGCUAAUACCGCAUACGACCGAGAGGUGAAAGCGGCGGACCGCAAGGCGUCGCGCGGCUGGAUGAGCCUAUGUCCGAUUAGCUAGUUGGCGGGGUAAGAGCCCACCAAGGCGACGAUCGGUAGCUGGUCUGAGAGGAUGAUCAGCCACACUGGGACUGAGACACGGCCCAGACCUCCUACGGGAGCAGCAGGUGGGGAAU
rnacentral:rRNA from 1 species